UCCCAGGCUAGAGGUUGAAUCGGAGCUGCACCUGCCAGCCUGCACCACAGCCACAGCAACGCCAGAUCUGAGCCACGUCUGUGACUUACACCUUCACCCCCUGAGUGAGGCCAGGGACGGAACCCACCUCCUCAUGGAUACCAGUGGGAUUUGUCACCACUGAGGCACAGCAGAACUCCUAACUUCCCUUUCCAAUGGGACCGUUUUCCGUGAGUCCCAGUGCCGUGGUCUGGGCUCGGGUUAUUCAUCUCCCUGAAGACGUGAGCAGAUACAAAUAACCCGACACCAACCCAUACUCACCUUUGUCCUCGAACCUCUCCCAGGGCUGCUGGGCACAUGCUUGCCCUGAUGGGGGACCCUUCCCAGCCUCCUUUGCAGCAGGGGCCGUGCCGUGUGGCCAAGGUGAGCCAUGCAAGGGAAUGCAUGGUGCCUCUUGUCUUUUUUCACCCUCUUGAAGGAUCGCAGGUUGCCGGGAUUGCAUCUGGUUCCUUUUGGGGGCCCUCGGGGUCACUGUUCAGAACUGCCUCAUGGCCACUCUUGAAAACUGAGAGUGGAUUUGCAAUGCUGUGUUCCUUUCUGCUGGACCACGACGUGACUCGGUUAUCCACACAGACACAUUCUUUUUCGGAUGCUUUUCCACAAUGGUUUAUCACAGGAUGCUGAAUAGAGCUGCCCAUGCUCCAUAGCGGGACUCUGCGGUUUAUCCCGCCUCUAUAUGCCAGUUGGCACCUGCGAAUCUGCCAACAUUUGACCAUUUGUGGUUGUGAUUGAGGCUGGAGGGCAAAUUCUGUUCCUGUCGCUCCAUCUUGACCGGAAGCGGAGGUCCUUACCCCGUCUUCCCCGUGAUGUUCCCAAUUUGAAUUUGAGGACUGAAUAACCGCAGCCUGGGAUGUGUUUAGCCAGGAACCCCUCAGGCCUUGGGAGCAGAAGACGCUUGGUGACCCUCCAGGGAGUCUGGGGGAAUGUCUCAAAUUCUCCUUUGAUGUUGCUGGUUUCAUACGACCGCUAGUCCCAUCCAAGCGGGUUUGGUUUCUGGCUAAAAAGGUUCUGUGCUAUUCACACUUGGUGCCUUGUCUAAUCGCCACGUGUGUUUUCCUUUGAGUGUGCAUCCUUGAAACAUUUAUAGAUUUUUGUUUGUUUGUGAACUAAAGACAUGAGAUAUUCCAAAAAGAGACAUUAACUCACAUGGAAUAUCAAUUACAUAUUGCUGGGUGAUGAUGGGGACAGAUGUGGUACAGAGGCCCGGGCGAGUGACCAACAUAGGAACAUCUUUGGACGUUUGAGAGGAAUGAGAAGCCAUCACUGGGGCUGCUGGGUGUGCAAGACAAGGAUGCAGGCGUUCCCUGGUGGCUCAGCAUUAAGGAUCCAGCAUUGUCACUGCUGUGGCUUGGAUUCAAACCCUGGCCUGGGAACUUCACCUGCUGUGGGUGUGGCCAGAGGGGAAAAAAAAAAGAAGGAAAGAAAAAGACAAUGAUGCAACAUCUAUUUGGAACAUUUGUCACAAUGACCAUCAUCAAAAAGACGACCCAUAACACACGCUGGAGAUGGAGUGGAGAGAAAGCAGCCUUGUCCACGGUAGGUGGGAAUUCAAAGUGGUGUCCUAUGGAAAACAGGAUGGAGGGUCCUUAAAAAACUAAACACAGAUCUAUUCUAUGAUCCAGAAUCCCACUCCUGGGCAUAUAUCUGGACAAAACCAAAAUUUGAAACGAUCCACGCACCUCAAUGUUCAUUGCAGCACUAUUCACAACAGCCAAGACAAGGAAACAACCUAAAUGUCCAUCAGCAGAUGAACGGAUAGCGAACAUGCAGUAUAUACACAGUGGAAUAUUACGCAGCCAUGAAAACAUAUGGAAUCAUGCCAUUUACAGCAACACGGAAGGACCGAGAACUUAUCAUACUAAGUGAAAUGAGUCCAAAAGAGAAAAACAAAUACUGUAAGCUAUCACUUAGCAGUGGAAUCUAAAAUAUGACACAAAGGAACCUAACUACAGGACAGAAACAGACUCACAGACUUUGAAGACAAACUUAUGGUCACCAAAGGGGACCGACCAGCGGGGGCAUGGAUGGACUGGGGCUGUGGGAUUGGCACGUGCACACAAGGUCUGUGGAAUGACGGGCCAACGGGCACCUGCUGUCCAGCACAGCGACCUCUACCCAGUAUGCUGUGAUCAUCUACGUGGGGAAUGAAUCUGAAGGAGAAUGGCUGUGUAGACGUGGACGCCUGAGUCACUCUGCUGUAUAGCAGAAAAGAUCACAGCCGUGUCCAUCCAGUCCACUUCAAUGAAACUUUUCUUUAACAACGAAAAGAAAGGCCAUCAUAUCUGUAAGAGGAAAAAACAAAAGAUAUUUUGAGAGAAGAAGACAGUACAUGAAGGACUCGCAGAGCCCACAUUCUGGCUGCUUCCCACAGACAGAUUUUUCUGAGGCUGAUGCACCCAUGCCAAUAAAUAAAAAGAAGAAGAUAUAUUUUGGCUUAUGCUUGUAUCUACUUUGCCAAUCCUAAGCCAUUCAUUAGCCCUAAUGCCUAGGUAGGCUUUUUUUCCUCCCCAUCCCAAAUUGAAGUGUUUCUAGACUCCUAAGCCUCAGCUUUGGAAGCGAUCUUCAAUCCAGACACAUCUUUCAGAGUCAAGUUUUCACCCAGCUUGAGAAAUAAGAACCCCAGGAGACGAUCAGCAAAUACUGCCAAAAUCCACGCACCCAGACCUACCCCGGACAUGCGGGUGUGGCAGGUUUGGGGAGAGCAGGGGGUCUUCACAACUAUUUUGGAAAAAAAAAAAAAGAAAAGAAAGAAAGAAAAAGAACCCUUCACAAGUCAGGUGCCCGGGUCAAGACAGUGCCUUAAAAAGAGUUAAACCUCCCACCUGACCAGGCCUCACAGCGAUGGGAAUGAGGAAAUGACACACGUUGGGAGCCACAGCCAAGCGAAAAAGAUGAGGUCCUUCUGGCCGGUCCUCAGCAGAUUGGGACCACUGAAGGCUCCUUGUAGCCAACUCUUGCAGCAGCGGGGGCGAGAUGCUGCCGCUGGCUUGCAGCCGAUGCAAAAAUCACUAUCUCCCCCGGACGGAAAUCGCACUGGCUCGUGUGUGCUUUUGCAAAACAGGAUGUGAAGACACAUGGAAAGCAGAGGGGAUGCAGCCCUGGGGAGCGCAGGGGCCUCCCGGCAUCUGCUCAGUGUGCUGUCUGGGGUGGUUCAACCCAUGCCAUCCAUUUCUACCCACGCCUGGGGGUCUGGUUGUCAGUCAUGGUGCCAGGAGCAAGUCUCACGGGGGCAGUCUGCCCCCAUCUCCCUCUGGGUCCAUCCCCUGUCCCUUUGCAAAACACCUCUGUUGUGCAGAGGUGCAAAAGACACCUCACGGGGCUUCCAUUCUUUCCAGAAGGACCCUCCUGGGGAGAUGCUAUGGACAGAUAGCCCUGCAUCUUUUUCUCGUUCUCCGUACAUCUUUUUUUUUUUUUUUGUCUUUUUGGGGCUGCACCCGCAGCACAUGCAAGUUUCCAGGCCAGGGGUCGAAUCGGAGCUGCAGGUGUCACUCUACACCACAACCACAGCAACACCAGAUCCGAGCCACGUCUGCAACCUACACCACAGCUCACAGCAAUGCCAGAUCCUUAACCCACGGAGCAAGGCCAGGGAUUGAACCCGCGUCCUCAUGGAUCCUAGUUGGUGCACAACCCACUGAGCCAUGACGGGAACUCCAUUCUCCUUACUUCUUACUCUUCUUAAAAUCCCUGGGGAGAGAUGGAGGACAUGGGUAGGAUCCAUGGCACACUGGGAAAAACCUGUUAUUCUGCCAGAGCAGAGCAGCAGAGGGAGCCGGUGGCUGGGCACGUGUGAGUGUGUGCAUGUGUCACUGUGUAUGCUGUGUGCACUUGUACCUGGGGGUGCGACACUGCAUCGAAGAGAGAACAGUGCACAGCUAUGGGUCAGGAUGGA
rnacentral:lncRNA from 1 species